AUAAUAUUAUGCCUUCUUUGUUUCUGACAUAUCAACAUCUUCCUUCCCAUUUGAAAAGAUGUUUUGCCUAUUGCUCGAUUUUUCCAAAGGGCUAUCCCUUUAAUAGGAAGAAAUUGAUUUUGUUGUGGAUGGCAGAAGGCUUCCUCGAACAUU
rnacentral:pre_miRNA from 1 species